rnacentral:misc_RNA from 1 species
GAUGAAGAACGUAGCGAAAUGCGAUAAGUAAUGCGAAUUGCAGAAUUUCUAGUGAGUCAUCGAAUCUUUGAACGCACAUUGCGCCCUUUGGUAUUCCGGGGGGCAUGCCUGUUCGAGCGUCAUUUCAACCCUCAAGCUCUGCUUGGUCUUGGGCCGCGCCGGCAACGGCGGGCCUCAAAAACAGUGGCGGCGCCAUCUGGUCCCUCAGCGUAGUAAUUCUUCUCGCUGCUGGGCCCCGGUGGCCGCUUGCCAGCAACCCCAAACUUUCUAUGGUUGACCUCGGAUCAGGUAGGGAUACCCGCUGAACUUAAGCAUAUCAAUAAGCGGAGGA